GUUUGAUCUUUUUGAAACUAAUUCCUUAAAAAAAAAUUUUCCUAGGCAACUUCAAAACUACAGUACUCUGUCAACUAUCCAGAGAUUCAGGGGAAUGAAAUCUUAGACUAUUUAUUUAAGAUGUUCCUUCAGAGUUGAAAACAACUACAUUCUAGCUUGAACAUCCCACAAGAAGAUGUGGGGUGGCAGCAGGCAGGGGUCUAACCUAGAAUCAUGGAGAUCACCAAACGAUAGUCCAGAGUGUAUAUGAUUAAUUGAGUAGACAAAGAAAGGAUGGAUUACUGGAGCUAAAAGAAGGCAUAAUUUAACAAUAGACUACUUUGGGAUAUGGAAUGAGAGAGGCUAUAGUGUUGAUUGUAUAAAUAUGUAGGUCUCAGCUGGGGCUGCACAGCCACGGGAAAUACUGCAUUCCUAACUUAUCUUGGGACUUAUUAUAAAGCUGCCAUUAUCCAAGGACAUAUGAUUCUCUGGAGGCUUACAUCACUGGAAAAAGUCUUUGGGCCCCUGAAGAUUACAGUACAUGUAAUGCUGCAAAAGGAGGAGGAUGCUGGGCCAGGCACAUACAACUCAAUUUACUUCUAUUGGCUGGAAAUAUUUAAAGCAUGACAGUGGCGUAGGUAAACUACCAAAUAGUGGAUCUUAUGUUGGAUUGAUCAGCCCUGAUGAACUGACCUGACCGUUGUAAUUGAAACCAUAACUCAUGACCACUCUAUCUGUAUAGGUCCUGGUAUACCCUGGGAUGAUGUUAACUUUUAACUUGAAAGUUUAAAGGAAGUUUUUUUGUGUCUGACCAAGCAGUUCUCAAGUUAGGGCUUGAUGAAGUCUACAAACUGACCACUAUAUCUACUGGACAAAAAAGGAUCAUAUUCUGACCCCCUCCCUCCCACCAUUUCCUCUGCCUUAUCUUGAUGACUUUGAAGGUAUACAAUUUUUGAGAAAAAAAUCACAAAAGAAAAAAUUAAAAAUGGAGGUGCCUAACCCUAACCCGAUUAAAUAAUAUGAGUACCUAAUUGGAGAUAUUUCUAUGGAUGUAGUUUGUAUUUGAUGUGAAAUAAUUCGCGAUGAUAUUUUAUGGCUGAGAUUGCCUACUUUCUGAACUAUUAUUUGAUGUAAUAAAUAUUUGUCUGACA